UUUUUUAUGGUUUCUUUUACUCUGCUCACUUGCACAUGAUUUAGCUCACUGGCACUGCAAAAUGUGCGUGGGUUGUGAGCGUGGCAAGGAGAUACGUAUAUAGAGUUUAAAGCUAGUUAAGGUUAAUUUAAAUGGACUUCCAAAAUUAUAACCUUUUUUAAAAGCUCGCAUUCCCCAGAGCCUAAUCUUUGGGCCUGAAGUUGAUGGCAUUUUUCUUCUCCUCUGAAGAGGAGUGUGUUGUGUUGGGAUGGCUGAGGGUGAUGGCACAGGAAGGAUGCUCCUCUCUGUGGCAGCUCUCCGGAAGCUCCGCAGCUGGAGCCGGGCUGCCUGCUCUGCUCUGCUCCCAGCACAGGCUCCCGUUGGUGCCAGAUGGUCCUGGGUCUGCUCUGGGAGUUUCUCUUAGCCUGCCUAUCCUCCUUUGCUUGUUGUCUUUGCAAAGCAUUUCAGUUCCUGAUGGGCUGUGUGUGUUAGCAGCAGUCUGGGAGAAAGGCAGCUGACAUCAGGGUCCGCAGCAAUCCCACUUCUUGUGAAUGACAAGUGGGCCACGAGGCUGUACUGGGCUGUGUGCUGCUUGUUAGUGCAGAGCAGCUGCAGAUAGCAGAGAGAAGUAAAGGCCAAGUCAUCCAUUUGCAGGGGUUUCACAGUGUUACUUCUUCAAUGGCAUUCUGGAUAUUUUACUGCAAUUUGGUUGCAUAGAAGUUGCUGCUGGAGGAGUACAUUGGAAGGGAAAGGAUAAGCAGGUUGAUGAUGAGGCUGGCAUGGUGUUGUCACUAACAAAGGCAUUUCCUGAGCCAGCAGCCUCAGGCUGAGUGAAAAAAGUUUGUCCAGAGGAGGAGUUCCCAGCAGCCACAGCAAAGGUGUUGUCUGUCUGGAGGGUGGGAAAAGGCUUUCAGAGCAAGGUGGGAGAUGGAAUGUGGCAGACAUGGAUGGCCAAGGUACACCUGGGCUGCCAUGCAAGCCCUUCAGCAUCAGCACAGCUCUUAGAGAAGCCCAUGAGAGCCUGAUGACAGUGGCUCUUUGCCACAAGCAGCUGAGGGGUGUCAGGCAGCUGCUCCCAAGGGAUCAUGGAGCAGUGGACACUGAGCUCCCCAGCUGGGGUAAGCUCUGCUGGUCCCCAUUGUUGCAGUUUGGUGGCUGAAGCCAGAUGAGCAUUUUGUAUCUUGGAAGAGUCAAAGCAUGCCACUCCCACCUCUAUAAAAGUAGUAACGGGUUGUGUAGCCUGUUUGAGACAAAAUAUCACGGGAGAGGGAGAGUUGAAGUCAUACAGCAAGAAACGAGGCGUGUUUUCACUGAAAAUGUCAGCUGGAGAUUAAGUGAAAAAAGAUAAAGAUAGAGGACUUUUGGCCUCACUAUCUGUCUUUUGAAUGUUGACUGAUUAAAAUAAGACAGAGUGAAUGGCUGGAUAUCCCCAAACAAUGCUUCACUGUCCCACUGCAGAUUGAUACUGCUGGUGCUCCUUCACCCAGAGAUGGGAUCUGGUCCUGAGCUUUCUGCUCUGGAAGGCACCGUGGCCAGCCAAGAUGGAGCCUGCUCAGGCUGGCCAUAGAUUUUGCCUGCAUGUGGGUGUUGUCUUGUUUUGGGUGACCAGACAUCACCUGGGCUGUGGCAGUACCUCUGCAGCUCAAGUUGGGCGUGUGGUUUGGAAGGGAAAUUCUACUGUCCCUGUGUGAGGUACCUUGGAGCAGUCUAGGAGCACAAAACCUGGUACAGUUUGGGUUUAACUAAGACAAGUUUUACCAGCUAGUGGGCAUUAAGUUUAUCAGGCCAAGCUAGAGCUUGUAGGAGAGUAAAAUAUCCAAAACACAGGUAACAUAGCUGUCAGAUCCUGAGCAGGGUCUACUUUGCUGUUGAACUUGGUGACCCUGGCCAUUUCUACACCUCCUCUUGAGUCUUGAGUUCAUGAAAUGUGGUGAAUCUCUGCUCCUUUCUAGACCAGCCAUCAGCUGGAAGGGUUUUUGGUUUGAAUGGGAAUCUGCUGGAUCUCCCCAGCAGGAACUCAGUCUUAACUCAGACAGUUCCUUGGCUUUGUUGGUGAUCAGUCGGUUUGCUGUCCAUCCUGACAUUAGCUUUUCAAAAAUACACACACCUUAACCCUUUCUGAAUCUUGGGCCAUGUAGCAGACUGAAGUGCAAAGAGGAUUGGCUGCAAAACUGGCAGUGGGAGUUUCUGCUGAGUCUCCCUGGCUGUGGCAUAGAGGCAUUUUUUUUUCUUGAAACACUAUCUUGAAAUAUGCAGGAAGCAAGAAAAACCAGCUUCAUUCUUUCUGUUCGAGACUGGAGAGGUGAGAGGUGUGGAUUUACAUCUGCAGCACAAAAGGAUGUGCCCCUCUUGGCUGGGGAGACCUUGGAGGGAGGUGGCUGUCGGAGCCGAUCCAGUGCACACCUCUGGGACGGCAAGUGCAUGACUUGGAGAGAUUUAGACAGCUUUUUGGGAAAAAACCUCCUUGUGUUGAAAUGUCAUCCCAGUCAUGAUGUUGUUUUCAAUGGAGAAUUGCUUGUGGAAGUGGCUUGCAAGCUGUAUCUGAAGCCCCGCGACCGUGCUGACCCCGGUGGGUUUGGCUCUCUUACUGAACACGGUGCAGGGACCGUGCAGCAGCCCCAUGGGUGUGGCCUUGGUGCAGGAGAUCCCGUCCUGCUGACACAUGGCAGCGCUGUGGGCUGGGGGGUCUUACUGCCAUGCUUGCAGGAAGGUCUGGGAGCCAAGCCUAGGCUCUCAGACAUCAUCACCACCGUGCUCUGGAUUGAUGGCACGGGGAGUUUUGGGGGGACUGUGGGGGCUCUGCUGCGGGGCUGACCCCCAGUGUGGUUUGUGCUGAUGUGGCUGGUGUUGAGAUGAGGCUGGAAGAGGCUGUGUCCAUAUCAUGGACCUGGAUAGUUUCUGGUGCUGGGAAUUGAGUCAGUAAAUGAGCAGUGGUCGUUUUUUCUGUUACUGGUGAACGUCUUGAUGUGUGACUCGGGGCUCAAAUUGCUGUGUGCCCAUCGAGGUUGGACCAUUGGAAGUUUGGGGGAUUUUGUUCUCACUCUGGGUAGAAAGGCAGCUGUCAGAGGGCUGGACAGUGGUUGUGCAUCAGGCAGGACCUGUCUGUUGGGAUGUCUGGGAGCAGCAUUGUCAUUUGAAGGGCAGCCACCUUUGUUUGGCUGUCUCUGCCCCCCAGCUUGCACUUGCUCUAGUGUCUCCCUAGGGAAUGCAUUUUAUUUCUUCCUGCUCCAUCCUGGUUGCACAAUAGUGAGCACAAUGUAGGCUGCUGGCUUUGUUGCCUGCAGUCUUCUGAGGUUUGGAACUUGCCUGGGCUCACCUUUUGCCCAGGCAUCUAACAUGGGCAGGGGAGCUCAGACCAGCAGCUCCUGGGGAGUGAGUCUGCAUCGGCACAUCGAUGUCAGCCGGUCCAGGCUCCUCAAAACUCACCAUGGGGUCGAGAGGUGAGUGCUGGGAUUUCAGGGACCAGCUCUUCUCUCUGCAUCAGUCCAGCAGAAGCAGGUCCAGCUGGCUCACUUUUGGGCGAGCUGGGAAGGCUUGCCGAUCUGUCAAUACUUCAAGAAAUGCCAGGGCUAGGAAUCAUGGAGAAAGGGUUUUGUGAAAUCUGGUAUUUAAACCUCCCACUUGAGUGAUGCUGAGGAGAGCUGGCAAUGUAGCAUUGGCUUAUCAGAAGCUGUGUGGGCAGGUCAGCUUAAAAAAAUGUUGCAUGAGCAGCACCAGAGGUGAAGGAAAGAAGCUGGUGUCUUGUCAGGUACAGAGUUUAAAUAGGGUGAGACUUCCUUUUUAUUAAAAAGAUUGUUUUAUUUAAAUAAUAAAUGACAGUGUGUUCACCGUUGCCAGGGGCUGCUGAAGGGCAACCAGGCAGGUCUGAGCGAAGUAGGGACUAAAGGCUUUGAAUUAUUUUCUGUCAUUAAUAACUCUGAACUGAGCACUGCAAAUUCAUGUAAAAGCCAUCUCUGCUUUCAUGCAUGCGAACAGUUUGGUUUGUGGAUAGAUCUGCUGUGAUCAGAGGCUCAUUCUAUCUUAAAAAAAAAGAAGUUGGCUUCUGAGCUUCACCUCUCAAUAAAAGUCCUGGAAAAUGAGUCCUUGCAGGCUUCUGCAAGGCCAUAUGUAACUUAUCUUGUCCAAUGCACGUCUCUAAUUGGCAGUUUAAAGUAAUUUAAAAAAAAAGAAUCUGUUAACGGUCAGUCUAUUUUUGGUUUAAAGAUGGACUUUAUAUGGUCAUAAAGUAAAAUUCCUAGCUUAAUUAUGGGAAUCAAAGUACAUUGGCUUAAUUGCACAAAGAACUGCACACAAGAGUGCAGAGAGGACACGCUUUAUGAGUGAUUAUCUGCUGAUGAAAUACUAUAUGGAGCAACAAGUGGGGGCAUUCCAGGCUCCAGAAAGCAUCCUGAGGCCAGAACUGCUGGAGGAGAGAUGGCACCAAAUCCUUGUUCAAUCCAAGAGAAUUAGACAUUUCUCUUGUCCAGUGUGGACCAACUCUAUUUCUGGAAAUAAAUGAGCAUGGUCAGGGUUUACUCCCACCACAGCCCUGACUGUCCUGCCUUAUGGAGACUUGAAGCUGGACAGGAUUGAAGGGGUGGUUUAUAACCAAAGCCUUGGUUGAGGAGUUAAUUUGUGUUCUGGAUAUGCUUCCAGAAUCUGGAAAAACAGCUGUAGGAGGUUUGAAUGCCAGAGGAUUUAGUGAUGGGAAAUACAAGUUCCCAAUGAUUAGGAGAUCCAUCAAAUUAUCUCCCUGUUGAUUGGACAUGUAGACUUUGAAAGGUGUCAGCGUGCUUGGGGCAAGCCUGCAUUCUUGAAGCUGAGGUACCUGGGAAGCUUCCUGGUGUCCAGGAAGGAGACAGAAUUUAGGACAUGGCAGUGCCUCUUCCCAAAGUCUGUGUGUGUGCCUGGGAAAAGGCUGUGACAGGGAAGUGAACUGAAGAGCUGUGACUUCACAGCAUUUCCACUUCAGCCCAGGCGUCCCCAGCCUGGUGGCACGGCAGGUGGGCAGGGUUUGGGGAGGACAGAGCUGGUGGGAGGCUGAGGCUGCUGGGGCUGGAGAUCGAGAGCAGAAUUGUGUGCACGGGAGGGAUUGGGCUGGAGUAAGGAAUGGGCACAUCUGCACAACAGGGUGGAAACAAGAGACAAAAAUAGUUAUUGUAGAUUGCUCAGUGGUGAAAAAAGACUUCGGCACAGCUGCUCUGAUUGAAACAUGGUGGGGGUGAUAGAAAUCAAUAAGAUACUGCAUUACCUGCCAUUGUAGCAGGUAUGUUAGGUCAUAAAGGAGGAACACUACAGCUAAAAGGUUGCUGUAAAAUCUGAGGAAAUUGGAGUACUGACGACCAAACAGCCACAUUUAUGUUGGAUACAAAUUCUGUAUUUUAAUGACAUGGAGGUAUUAGGAAGUUUUCUGUUCCAAACAAAAGGAAAGUUGAGGAUUUCAUGAGCCUUGGGAAAAAAACAGGCUUACGCAUCUUCAUAAACCUGUUAGAAAAAGUGAGUUCUAUUAUGACCAUGCUAUCUGGCCAGAUUGUUUGGGAGGGAACUGGCUAACAUUUCGGUGUGCAAACAUAUUGAUUUACUUAAAGAAUAAUUUCUUGUAACAGCCUGGUCUAGAGUUCGCCUUUGUUUAGGACUAAGACGUAAGACCUGAUUCAAAAUACAAUUAUUAUUGAGUUGUUAAGUAACGGUGACCACCUGGGGUCACUGAAUUGCAUGUGCAGAGUUCUCAGGGGUAGAAGUGGACUAAAAGUGAGUCUUCUUUUUUCCAAAAUAUUGCAGGGGAGUCCUUAGACAUACCAUAGAUACCUGGGAAGGUUAUUGACAUCCAGGUGAGGCAGAAAUCUGUCACAAAAGAACGAACAACCCUAAAACUGUUGUUAAAAAUAGUUCUAAAGGAAGGGACUUCUGGAGUUCAGGAAGAUUCCACCCAAGGACAGCAGUCCAGCUCUUAAGGAGCAGACUGGAAGAGCCACGUAGUAGUGCAGGUAACCAUGAUUGGGAAAUGAAGCAGUUUAGGAGGGGCUUUGCAGAGCUGGAGGCUUUGGGGAGCCAAUGCUGUCUGAGGGACAUGAGAGACAAGGCUGGGGAGAAAAUCUGGCUGUGCAGGACUGAAGGUAGAAUUCAUUUCCUGCACUUCUUCAUGCCACUGAAGUGACUCCCCUAUGUCCUUCUGGAGCACAGGGCAUGUUUGAGAGCCUGCUGUCCUUUUGGGUGGAAUAAGGAGCCUUCUUCUGAAACUCAAGUGAGGCAGAGAUGCUGGAGCAAAGUAGGAAAUUCAAGUGGAGGAACAACAGAUGCAUCAAGGGGUUUUAAAAAAGCUUGGGACUGAAACAUUUAAAGGUACUAACAGAAACAGGGCUGUCAAAAAACAGCUUAGUAUUCUCCAUGACUAGAUAACGUCCUAAUGUCAGGUUAUUCUUUUUUUUUUUUUUUUUAAUUAAAGUAUUAAUCGGGACACUGGGGAUUGCAGAUCGGAAACCCUGAACUCCAGUUUGAGAAGGAGAAUCUGAAGUGCUGUAGCUCUUCAGUGUGUGAGACAUGGAAAGCAACAUAUUUUCUGCAGAGAAAAGGGGUUGGAUCAGGUGAUCCUUUCCAGCCCAGUCCAUUCUUUGAUUCUAUGAUCAGUCUGGUUUGCUGGGGCACCUACCAGAAUGACUGAAAAACAGCAGGACAAAAAUAGGCUUGUUAUGAGAAGAGAAGAGUCUUCUUUGGUUGCAGUUGAUAUUUGUCACUUGGGGAGCAAAAGGUAGACUAAAGUCUAGUUAGAGAAAGUGAUUAAAGGCUUCCAAGUCUGCAUCUUCAGCCUUUGAGCAAAUGAGUUCCAUUCAAUGGUUUCAUUAAACCCAAAGUUGCUGGGUGGAGAAAGGUUGAUUUUCAUGAAACUUUUGUGGUGGACACCACUAGAUCCAGGUUGCAAAGUCUGGGCUGACAGGAGAAACAAGCCCAGAAUAUUGGGUAAUAUGGCAUCUAGAUGUCUCCUGCAAAGCAACACCCCCAGUUCAAAUUCCUGCCUUGAGCUGGACUUGCAGGUCUGCCAGAUCCCAGAGUGUGCCUCAGCAGCUGAUAUUGUGGGUAUGUUCUGUUUUCUUCUUACUAAGAAAAAACUCAAAGGUCUUGACUUUUAAAAUGGGUAGAAAGGGAAGGAGUAGGAACAGCGGUCUGGGCAGCAUCUUCCAGUGUUUGCCUAGGUCUGUCCUUGAGGGAGAUUAUUGGUGUGUGCACAUGCAGACCUGUGUUACCUCUCUUCCCAGGAGACCCAGAAGAACCCACAGGUAACUGGUGUCAGCCAGAGCAACCUUUUGCUGCUCUGGCUUAGUUUUAGGCUUCUUAAAAGUCUAGGAGUCAUGGCAAAUACCCUGGCUUCCCCCACCUUCCUUGUCUUCAGUAGAUGAUGGUACCAAAGAGUGAGUGCUUUGAUAAGUCGUUGGAGUUUGCAAUAGAAACAGGAUAACUGCAAGCACCAUGAGGCUUUCAGUCAGAGUUUAUGUUUAAAGACAAAAGCAGAGUGGUUGGGUUAUACCGGGGAAGUGACCCGAGCCUGGCUGUGGCUGGAAAAUUGAGAAGAGCAUAAGGUUUGGUGCAGUGAGCAUGGGGCUGACCCUGGGACAAGUGAGGCAACAAGCAACGGGGGAAAAAAAAGCAAUUUUUAAUGCUCCGUCAGUAUGCCAGGCUGUAAGUGAAUUGUUCAUUCAGGAGGAAGAACUUUGAUUCUGGUAGCAGAGCAAAUGAAGGGAAGAUGUGUGCUCUGCCACAGGAAUCCUGCACAUUUCAGGUGUAGGUGCAGGUCUGUGAGGCUGUUGAGCAGAAGCUCCUCUGUACCACAGCUCCUUAGAGCCCCACAGUGUCCCUGUGCUGCUCUCCCUAGUGAUCAGGUGGUUGUCACUGGCACAACCUUUGUCCCUACCCCUAGAAAUCCAUUAGAUUGCUCACUUCUAGUUAAAUUAUACCAGCUGACUUUGAAGUUACUCAAUAUAAAACUGUCGUGGUAUUGCUUGCAUGAUAGUUAUUUGAUGUAAGACAACAGUUUCUUGUGCUCUCUCUUUAGGAAUUUGGGCUUUGAGUUUCACUGGGGUGCGUUGUACAUACCCAACUGCACAGGAUCAGGCCCAUCUCCGUUUUAAAAUGUAUUUCACAUCUGCAAUUAGAGAUGUUCUAGGUAACAAAUUAGAAGAUCGAGUUGUCUGUCACAGGCUCAGAUGAUCAUAGCGACUUGUGCUAAAGGCUCUGUCCUCAUAGAGACCUGCACGGCUGCUUUGUGUAACUGCUGUCAGAGCUCUGGCAUUCUGGUAAUAGUGUUUUUUAAUAAGUGUACUGAGUAUACUCGCCUUUAAAUCCUGUUAGGUACCAAUAAUUAUUGCUGGUAUUCUGUACAUUAGCUCUGUACUAGCAUUCACAUUGGACUAGGCUUAAUAGCGUGAGUGUCAAAGAUGACUUGAAAAAGGAAAAUUAGUUUAUACCCUUUCCGUGUGGUUCUACUCCAUGUAGUGAGUGGUUUGUAGAAGUACCAUAAGUGCUACAACUGUCUUCCCCCUUUUACUUGCUGUGAUUUUCUGCAGCAGAACAUACAAAUUUAAGUCUGUUGUUCCAUCCUUUGGAGACACUGAGAUAUUAUCAUGGUGAGGUCCAUGGAAAUACCCAGAGAGCUGGACCCUCACACAGAGAUAAGGCAUCUUUUCCAUUUGUUUGUUUUUUUUUUUUUUUUUUUUGCUGUCCAUCCUCCAGGUUUUUGUUUGUUUUUUAUUUUUCAAUGUAAAAAAAGUUAUACCCUCAUCUGUCAGUGCAACAUCCUCUAGGAUAUUUAUGAUCUUCCAGGAAAGGUAGACAGGACUAGAAUAACUAAUGCCAAAAAUUGCCCAUGGCAAGGGAGGGAAAUCCUUGUUUUCAAGGCAAACCCCAUCCAAACUUUUUUCAGCACACCACAAGGGUAUAAAUCCCAACUUUUUCUUUUCCAGGUGAUCUUUAAGGCCAAGUAGCAGAGGGCAGUGUUUGCCCUCCAGUGGGGUUCAGUGCCACGUGGCAUCCGCGCUGUCCCGCAGGUCUGAGCCCCUGGCACCCCGGCAUUUAGGGAGCUCCGUGGGGUUGGCUUUCACCGUGUCCUCAAUUUGGAUCCCCAGGGCGGAAAAAUUAGGACUCUGUCAGUUAAAGAAAAAAACCAAAAGUGAAGGAAAAUCUCUGGAGAGUUGUGUUUCCCCACAGCAGUGACAGCCCCUCAGCACCCACUUCUGUUCAGCCAGGACGCCCGGGUCAGUCCUGCUGGGUUUUUAGCCAUCUUGACCUCAUGUUUGCAAAUAUUAUUGGUAAUAUAAUGCUCUAUGUACAAAUGUCUGUGUGGCUCAUGUGUAUGUUUCUGUGGUUCCAGUCAGCCACAGAGUUCUGGAAUUUCAUUGUACUUUGGUUAAAUGUUGGACUUUUAACUCUUCUACUGUAUGGCUUCUUGAUUUCUCUUGUCCAAUGUGGACCAACUCUAUUUUUGGAAAUAAAUAAGCAUGUAAAUAAAAUGAAUGGGUUUAUGCCACUUACAAGAAAAUGCUUUAUUUAAAAUAUACACUCAGCCUUGUAUAUUUUAUGGUAUCUCAGGGAGCAGCCGAGGCUCAGGCCCCAGCAGCCUUGUGCUGAGAUACCAUAUUAUGUACAAACUCAUUUCCCAGUGCUUUUGGAAGCAGACUUCCCAUCUCCUGAGCCAAACCCCCGUAGGACCAGCCUUGCAGAGGAGGGAGGGGGGAAUCCAGAAACACAUAGUUUAAGGGGAGUAAAGGAAACAAACACGACUUUCCUCUCAACACAAGGCUUCUGGUUUGAGGUGUCCAGGUGCCAGAGACACUACUGGGUGCAGGGAUGCCAUGGGUCGGUUCUCAGCUCCCACUUGGGAGCACAUGGAGAUCAGGAGCACAAUGACAUCUCUUUUGUUUUUUUUUCUCUUUUUUUUUUUUAAAUUCUCCAUAUAAACCAAUAUUUACCAGUAAUCCUGUGUUUCUGUUUUUGUUUUUUGGCAGACUUUUACCAGUAAAUAUCGGUUUAUUCCUGAAACCAGAAGCCCUAAACAUACCUUUGUUUAUAAGGUCAGUUGGCAUUUUGUCUCUCUCAUUCCCCACUCCCUCCCAGUACAACCCAGCAGGUGGUUGAAAGGUACCGAGUUCUCUUUCUAGUUUUCCUGCUCUGCAUCUCUGGGAACUGGAGCCCGCAGGACCUAGAGCCUUCUGUUGGUAAUGUAGAUCCGAGUUUACAAAUUAUUCUUUUGCCAUUUUAAAUCCUGCUUUUAAGGACAGAGGUGUUCCCACCUGCCCACCAUGGGAACUGGUAGAAACCCCUAAAUUUCUCCUUCUCUCUGAAGCCUGCGGGUAGGUCACUCACUAGCAUCUUCAGGCUUGGGACUGAGAAAAUAAUUUAUCCCAAAAUAUACACUAAAAACUGCCAUUUCUGGUUUGCUGUGAGCAGGACCGGGGGAGGGAAGGGCGGGAAAGGAAUUUGUAACUUACUUUUCCCCCCCUUUUUUCCUAGAAAGCAAAUGUGACAUGGGGAGGAGGGAGAGAACAUGAACGUGGCCCUUCCUAAACUCAUUGUAAACUCAUCCUCCGAGGCUGGGAAAAAGGGCAGGUGAAAGAUCUGAUCCUUAAAAGGACAUCACUGGGUGUCUGAGACCCCAAAAGCAGCUGGCAAUUUCUAAGGACUCAAAUUGCUUUUGGUUUAUCCCAAGACAAAUUGACUUGGGAAUGUUGAAGCCUCCUUUUUCCUCAUAAGUAUUUGCCACCCAAACACUUCACGUUUUGGUAAUACCCCAGAAGCAGAGAACCUGAUGAGGGAUAGAAAAUGAGUUUACUGCAUGGUCCCGGCCAAUUUUUUUUUCCCAAGCAAACAAAACACAAAAAAAAUAAUUAAAAAAAAAAAAUCCCAAACCAAAACCCAUCCCUGUACCUCCCCAGAAAAAACAUCCUAAAAAAGCAAGUCCAAGAGGAUCUCAAAUGGCCAGAUGCCCAGUCUGGUUUUGUCCUGCAGGGUUGACAAGGGUGUUUUUGGCAUAGCUGGAGCCCAACCAUGUCCCUUUAAGGAGCACCGUGGCUCGUUUCCUCCUCAGGAACCCUGAGCUGAGGGCUUUGCUGUUCCUGAGAGCUGAUCCAAGCUCCUGCAGCCUUAGUUGGAGUCCAGAAUGAGGGGAGCCCUUCCAGCUGUGCACUUUGAGCUGAAAACUACCUUUCCUCCCCUUUUGCAGCCUGGGUGGUUCUGAUUGCUGGCAGUUCUGUAAUACAACCUUAAUCUGAGCAGUUGAGGCUGGUCCUACCUUAUCUUCAGACGUCUUGCGGAGGACUCCUGUUACCAGUUUGGUACUCAAAAGCUACACCCCACCACCAGAAGUCACUUUUUGUUUUUUCCAAAGGCAGUGAUAGCUCACCCUCUCUAGCUCUAAUGGAAAACCUGAUAAUUGCAAUGCAACUUUCUAAUAAAUUGUUCAUAUAUUCAUAAUUCCGUUGCAAUCCCAAAUUGAAGAAGAGAUCUGUUAAAGUGCACUGGUGUACCAAGCCUCAGAACCACUGCUUUCUCCAGCUCAUAGGAUGCUUUUCCAGACUGUGGAUACGUGUAUGUGUACUGCUGUGUUGAUAAGUAAAUGCCAACGAUGGAGUUCGUUGCUUUUAUACAUCCCAAAGAGAAGUUCUCCACCGUUCACUGUCUGUUUUCUGACCGAAAAGGCGUGUGUUUGUGAACAGUGCUCACGCCAGCUCUGCCAUCCCACCCUCACAUCAGCUCACACCAAUGCCAGGAUGGGAGGAGUUGCCUGCGUACCUUCCCCAAAACACCCCGGGCCGCAGUGGCAUCGUCAGGGAGCAGUUCAAACCUGUGUCCUUUGGGCUUUGUGUAAAGCAAAUGCAGAGCAAGAAAAAUUGAGAUGUUAAAUCCAUUAGAAAACCAAUUCCUUAUUGUACAGUAGUAUGGAGAUCUCUAGUCAACCUGCCAUUAAUAAUAGAUUCUUAUUUUUUGAAUGAUCUAUUUAAAAGAACAGCAAGCAUUGUAUUUGCUAGUAAAUCUGAAGUGUUUACAUGGAAUUACUAAAUAAAUUAUUUGAUCUAA